rnacentral:rRNA from 1 species
AUUGAACGCUGGCGGCAGGCCUAACACAUGCAAGUCGAGCGAGCGGCGGACGGGUGAGUAAUGUCUGGGAAACUGCCUGAUGGAGUGGGAUAACUACUUGAAACGGUAGCUAAUACCGCAUACCAUCAGAUGUGCCCAGAGGGGAUUAGCUCGUAGGUGGGGUAACGGCUCACCUAGGCAACGAUCCCUAGCUGGUCUGAGAGGAUGACCAGCGACACGGGAACUGAGAGACGGUCCAGACUCCUACGGGAGGAAGCAGUGGGGAAGAGUGCACAAUGGGAGCAAGCCUGAUGCAGCCAUGCAGCGUGUGUGAAGAAGGCCUUCGGGUUGUAAAGCACUUUCAGCGGGGAGGCGUUAGCCGGAGAAGAAGCACCGGCUAACUCCGUGCCAGCAGCCGCGGUAAUAC